rnacentral:rRNA from 1 species
UACGGAGGGUGCAAGCGUUGUCCGGAAUUAUUGGGCGUAAAGAGCUCGUAGGCGGUCUGUCGCGUCGGUCGUGAAAACUUGGGGCUUAACCCUGAGCUUGCGGUCGAUACGGGCAUGACUGGAGUUCGGCAGGGGAGACUGGAAUUCCUGGUGUAGCGGUGAAAUGCGCAGAUAUCAGGAGGAACACCGGUGGCGAAGGCGGGUCUCUGGGCCGAUACUGACGCUGAGGAGCGAAAGCGUGGGGAGCGAACAGG